CGCAUGCGUUAGGGAAGAGACGGGCGAAGCGGCGGCCCUGAACGAGCUGGUUCUUUCUGGAAACCCUCGUCAUGCGGUCGAUUAGCCCAACCCAGACUAUCUCUUUCUUGAGCUUCCACUUUUAAUGCUAUUUCCGGCGGCGCCCAUUGUACCCCCUGCGAGGAAGGAAAAAAAUGGAAGAUUCUGGCCUGGAGUUCCUUCUAGACGCCAUUGACAGGUUUCCGUUGCGGCAGGAGUUCGCCGACAACCUAAGCACCCAAAUUCGAUUUCCCUUGCCUUGUUGCCGCGGAACAAGGAGGACCUGGGAGUCCCAGCGGGCUCAAAUGCAAAUUCUAGUUGUGGCCAACAGCUCGGUGGCGAGAGCCAUGGCGGAUAGCGCGGAGACGUUCGUCGGCGGAAAGAUGCUUCUCCGACAAGCUCUGCCCAGUCAACUGACAGAGUGAACCUUGGACAAAAAGGUAGAGAGCUUUGACUGGGUUUUUGCUGAGUUUUUGCGAAUAAUGGGAGGACCUGCCCCUAAGACUGUCCUGACUGACCAAAACAGAGCCAUGGAGGUGGCAAUCAACAAAGUUUAUCCGGAUACUGUGCAUAGGUGGUGCAAAUGACAUGUGCUGAAAAAGGUGAAGGAGACAUUGGGUCCUGUAUACACGAAGAAGGUGAGUUCCAGGCUGAGUAUUACAAGGUUGUCAAUCACAUGUUAACUGAAGAUGAAUUUGAGAAGGCGUGGGCUAUGCUAUUGGAUAAGUAUGAUUUGCGGAAGCACCCGUACAUUACCCAGAUAUACGAAAUCAGGAAGAAAUGGGGAAAACCAUAUUUCAAGGGGGUUUUCUGUGCCAAGAUGACGAGCACACAACGCAGCAAGAGCGCAAAUAACAUGCUGAAGACAUACAUGCCAGCCCAACGCAUGUAUUUGUUAAGCAGUAUAUGAGGGUUGGAAUUUGAUCGGGAGCGUGAGAGAGCUACGAGGAGAAGAGGACAAUGAUUGGUCGGGCGGUUCGGAGUUUGGUUAGCUACCGAUUGAAGGAACAUCUUACAAUGUUACCUGAGGUGGAGAAGAUGGAGAAGUAUAUUAGAACACACAACAAUGCGUCAAGAAGAGAGAAGUGGAGCAGGGUUGAGUACUCACAGUCAAUAAUGACCGGUCUGAGUUUACAUGCGAGUGUGGACAAUUCGAGCACACUGGAAUGUUGUGCAGCCAUGCUUUGCGGGUCAUGGACGUACUUCUUCUGGGGGAGAUCCCGGUGAAGCAUAUUGUGAAUUGCUGGACCAGGGAGGUACAUGCUCCUCCUGGACCUGGUUCAACAUCAGAUGGAUAGUUCAGUGAAAUUGUCAUUCACAUGCAGACACUCGACACUUACCUGAAAGCUAUGCAGACCGUGUGGACAGGCAACGCGAGUGCCAAAGCAUUUGAACACACGAUGAGCGCACCAUUGGCGGCGGAGAGGGAUGGUUUAGGUUUUGAAGACCAUAAUGAGAGACUCAAACAGGGUAGAUUGGUUUACUAUGUUGGUGCUGAUAAUGGUAACCAAGAUAACUCUGGAAUGCCCUUCAAGGUCUAGCGCCUCCUGAUAAGCAAUGUGGGGUCGGCAGGCCAACAAAUGGCAGCGAAAAGGCGGCUUACGAGGGUCUGAGCAAGCGGAGAAGAUUCUAUAGCAUAUGUCGGUGAGAGGGACAUAAGCACACUACCUCCGGGGCUGCCCGGACAGAGACGAUGCUCCGAGGAAACCAUGGAAGCCUGGCAAAUGCAAAAACUGCGGCAUGGAAGGAAACCGCCGGACGACAUGCACAAUGCCGCUUGGAGUUGCAGAAAUAUGAAAUGUACUAUUCAAAAUGUUGGUUAUCGAGGAUUUUCUAGUGUGUUUAAGUAAGCAUUUGCUCCACGCUUGUUCCUCUUGUGGUUAGAGACAUGACAGUUUCCCCUGCAAAAAAAAAAGAGACAUGACAGUUGUAUAACAAAAACAGAAUUCAUUGGCCACACAUGAUAUUCAUUAUUUUCUGAUAGGCAAA